rnacentral:rRNA from 1 species
AUUGAACGCUGGCGGCAGGCCUAACACAUGCAAGUCGAACGAGUGGCGGACGGGUGAGUAAUGUCUGGGCAACUGCCCGAUGGAGGGGGAUAACUACUUGAAACGGUAGCUAAUACCGCAUACCCUAGGAUGUGCCCAGAUGGGAUUAGCUAGUAGGUGGGGUAACGGCUCACGUAGGCGACGAUCCCUAGCUGGUAUGAGAGGAUGACCAGCCACACUGGAACUGAGACACGGUCCAGACUCCUACGGUAUGCAGCAGUGGGGAAUAUUGCACAAUGGGCGCAAGCCUGAUGCAGCCAUGCCGCGUGUAUGAAGAAGGCCUUCGGGUUGUAAAGUACUUUCAGCGGGGAGGCGUUACUCGCAGAAGAAGCACCGGCUAACUCCGUGCCAGCAGCCGCGGUAAUAC